UGCGAAGGCUAAUUGAUUCGGUUAUGAUGGAACUUCUUUAAGGGCGUGUUUGGUUCGAAGUCGGAGUCGGAAUCGGAAUCGGAAUCGGAAUCAAAAUAAGCUGGAAUUGGAAUCAGAAUAACUCAUUACCUAAUUCUGUUUAGUUCAUCCCUGAAUCGGAAUCGGAAUAAAUCAUUCCCAUUGUCAGUGUUUGGUUCAGGAGGAUAUAAAAAAUAUAAUCAAAUUAAUAUACUAACAUUAUCUUUAUAAUAUAUUAAUUUAAAUUCAAAUUAAAAAUUAAAUAAUAAAAAUUUAUAUCAAAAUUUUGAAAUAAUGUCAAAAUUUCAUAUCUAUUUUUUA
rnacentral:lncRNA from 1 species